GGGGAUUAGUGGCGAACGGGUGAGUAACACGUGGGCAAUCUGCCCUGCACUCUGGGACAAGCCCUGGAAACGGGGUCUAAUACCGGAUAAUACUCCUGCACUCAUGUGUGGGGGUUAAAAGCUCCGGCGGUGCAGGAUGAGCCCGCGGCCUAUCAGCUUGUUGGUGAGGUAAUGGCUCACCAAGGCGACGACGGGUAGCCGGCCUGAGAGGGCGACCGGCCACACUGGGACUGAGACACGGCCCANACUCCUACGGGAGGCAGCAGUGGGGAAUAUUGCACAAUGGGCGAAAGCCUGAUGCCGCNACCCCNCGUGAGGGAUGACGGCCUUCGGGUUGUAAACCUCUUUCNNCAGGGAAGAAGCCCAAGUGACGGUACCUGCAGAAGAAGCGCCNGCUAACUACNUNCCAGCAGCCNCCGUAAUACGUANGGNGCNNGCNUUGUCCNGAAUUAUUGGGCGUAAAGAGCUCG
rnacentral:rRNA from 1 species